rnacentral:rRNA from 1 species
AUUGAACGCUGGCGGCAUGCCUUACACAUUCAAGUCGAACGGUAACAGGUCUUCGGAUGCUGACGAGUGGCGAACGGGUGAGUAAUACAUCGGAACGUGCCCGAUCGUGGGGGAUAACGGAGCGAAAGCUUUGCUAAUACCGCAUACGAUCUACGGAUGAAAGCAGGGGACCGCAAGGCCUUGCGCGGACGGAGCGGCCGAUGGCAGAUUAGGUAGUUGGUGGGAUAAAAGCUUACCAAGCCGACGAUCUGUAGCUGGUCUGAGAGGACGACCAGCCACACUGGGACUGAGACACGGCCCAGACUCCUACGGGAGGCAGCAGUGGGGAAUUUUGGACAAUGGGCGAAAGCCUGAUCCAGCCAUGCCGCGUGCAGGAUGAAGGCCUUCGGGUUGUAAACUGCUUUUGUACGGAACGAAAAGACUCUUUCUAAUAAAGAGGGUCCAUGACGGUACCGUAAGAAUAAGCACCGGCUAACUACGUG